ensembl:lncRNA
UUGUCUUUUGUCUUUUUAGGGCCGCAUCUGCUGCUUAUGGAGGUUCCCAGGCUAGGGGUCAAAUCGGAGCUCUAGCCACCAGCCUACGACGCCAUAGCCACAGCAACUCGGGAUCCAAACCAUGUCUGUGACCUACACCACAGCUCAUGGCAACAUCGGAUCCUUAACCCACUGAGCAAGGGCAGGGAUCGAACCUGCAUCCUCAUAGAUGCUGGUCAGAUUGAUUUCCACUGAGCCCUGUUGGGACCUCCAACAAUUAUUGAUGACUGACAGGAUUGGGGAUAGAAAUUAAGCUUGUAGUUGGAUGGAUUGGUCUCCUUGUUGUGACUAAACUCUGCUGUGUGUAAGUCAGAACAAACGUUGGUAGUUACAUAUGUGUCUUGAUGAUGAGUGUUGGAACAAUCCUGCCUUUGAUGACACACUGGCCUUUAGCUUUGAGAGUAUCGUUCCAGUGAAACAAAUCACUGCUGUCUGUGGCACCUAACAAUUCUCUCCCCAGUGGAAAAUAUGAAAACAGACUGUUAGUAUUCUUGAUUCCUGUUUUCUGCCACCCACUAAAAAAAUUUCAAACUCAUGUGGAAUGCUUUUGAUGCUGUGAAUUAGAGGCCUUCUGUGAGGACUUCUGCUGCCUGUGAAGUUCUUGUUGUUUUCCUUGUAAACCCCUUUCGCCAAACAGAAAAAGUUUGCAAGUGACUUUACCCUCUCUAAGCUUCUGCUUCCUCCUCUGUAAGUGGGGGGAAUGAUGGUGUUGGCCCCACGGAGGUCGGAGAUUAUGGAAGGUGUAAUACAUGCCACACAGAAUACGAUCAUUUCUGGGGGGGCUACUGGGUCAGUGGUACCUGAAAAGGAGAUAGGGUGGGUCUGAGGUAUUGAUGUUUUUGUCUGUUUGAGUUUGUUGUGCCUUAUUUUUGUCCAGACUUGCCAUAUUACAACUUCAAGAUUUUAAAGACCUUUGUGAACCCUAUUCUCGAAAGUUAUGUGUAUGUUUGUAGUUUAGUAUAAACGGCGCUUAUUAAGAAAUCUGAACUUGAGUGUCAGCUGUGAGAUCUUAAGUCACUACAUUGUCCUUCCCUCAUGAAAUGAGGACAUGGGACCAGCUGGUCCCAAUUCCGAGAUUAUAUAAUGACAUGUCUUCAUUGUACAGUUUCUUAUUCUUCCUUAUUUCCUCUUACCACAUGCUUUGUCUUUCAUCUUUCAGCCUCUUUCUACCCAUCUCCUGCAGUCCUUCUUCUAUCCAUCCUUUUAUACAUCCUAAAAAUUGUCUCAGUAGACAUGAAGGAGGCAAGCAGUGUUUUAGGAGCUGGAUAUAUAAUGUUGAAAAACACAGGGUUCCAGUACUAAUGAAACAAAAUAUGGUGGUAGAAGCACCGAUAAAACCAGUAAUAAUUACAAAAUAUGGUAAGUCCUCUCACAGAACAGGAGAGGAUACUGUGAGUGGAAAAGCAGGCAUACCUGACCCAGUUUCAAUGUCUUUUCUCAAAGUGAAUUUCCAAGGGCUAGAGGCCUGGCCAGGGGCUGUGUGAGAGGAAGAGCAGAGCAGCCAACAAGGGCCCAAGGCGAGAUGAGAUGAGCCACUUGCAGCAACUAGAGGCCAGUGUGGCUGGGAGGGUGGUGAGUUAGGGAGAGUUUAAUAAGAGUGAGUGUGGAAAGGCAUGCCCUGUUCAAACCAAGGUAAAGAUUUUCAUUUUAAGUUCAGUAGAAGGCUGUGAUCAAUUUUCAGUGGUGACAAAAUGGGACUCCUAUGUAAACUCAGAACAAUUCAAAGCUCCUUUAAAAAUACAGUUAAAUUUUGCAUAAAUACAUAAUUCCACAUAGAAUAGUGUACUGUGCCUAAAGAGAAUACAAUUUUAUGCUGGGCAGAGGCUGUCCUGUGACCCAAGUUUGCACAUCACUGUUGUACUUCCAACAGAGGAGAGCCCCUGGUUUCCUAGAAUUUCCUGCCUUGUUUUUCUUCUCUCUGCCCCACUCUGAUUCCGCCCAUCUCUUUUCUCUGCAUUUGAUCACCUCUUCUCAUCAGCCCUUGAUCCUUGAAAUGCUGUGAGAACAACGGUAAUAGUCAUCAGUAGAGCUUCAGAUGGCAGAUGUGCCUUUGGCCUAUGGUUCAGUGACUCUAGAGGGCUGGAAAUUGCAGAUGCGUUAGAACAGAGAGGCUGUCACAGUAUUCAAGAGGAAUGCCUCUUCUAGGAGAAAUUCCAAAGCCAGUCAGCAAAACCGAUGUCACUGCCACAGCAGGUGCAGGCACUGAGGCCUUGACGGAGCUGACACAAAUCAGAAUGUUCCUGUUCAUCCCUGUGCAGAUCAGUUAAAUAUUCUUUGCAAGUGGGUUCAUUCGAGGCACCACUUAUGGUGACAUUUGAUGGGGAUGCAGAGAAGCAAAAGGUAUAAAAGACAAAUGGAUUCUUUCCCUGUAAAACCUUAAUCUAAUUGGGUAAACAAGCCAUGCACCUUUGAAAAGUCAUUUUGGAUGUAGUCCAGGUAAAUAUUUUACCGGUUAUUUUUAAAAUCAAAAGUAUUUUAAAUGAGGACAAUUGAAGAGAUCAUAUCUAGAAUAAAAUGCUGUAGAAUGUCAUUUCUCGGAGUGUGGUCCAUGAAUUUUUAUUACCGGUCCCCGACUGUCUUUCUGUUUAUUUGGUGAGAUCAUUUUGAUUAUAGAAGCAUUGUACUGAUUUCGGGAUUGGGGAUCAGGGAAGGAAGACUGUAUCCAGGCUCUUUGACUUUGACCAGAGGUAAUGAAAGGAAAGUGAACCAAAAACCUCCGUCAUCCCCUCGCACAGGGGCCUGGUAUUGCUGUGCAGAGUGAGAGCUGGCAUAAUCUCAGGGCAGUCUGUCGGAGCAGAUUCUGAGGUCUACUCCCUAGCAUUCCCUGCCACAAUCCUUGCCCCUAGUGAGCCCUCAGAUACACUAGGCUUGGAGCAUUCUGUAGGUAGAGGACAGAAAGGGCUCAUGGAUGCCCCUUCACUUCUCCUAUCCAGACUGGUGGGCAGACCGAGGAAUAUAAUAGAAAGUGACUGUUGGAGAUAGAUUUAGGACGACCUGAAGGUGGUGUGAAGCCUGUAUUUUAUGCCGUGAUCUCACAUACACCUGCAGACUCACGUCAGUGGUUUUUCCCUCAAAGGUGGCAAGAACACCUCUCAGGUGCGCUCUGGUCCCAUCCCUUGAGCUGCUUGUAUGCUACCAUUGACAUCUUCCUUCUCUGGCAACUGUUCCUUUACAAAUUGUCAACUGGAAACUUACUACUCUUCUUUUAGCCCAAACUGGAAAUACCUGGAGACAGAGAUAUUUUGAUGUAAUGGGUAAAAGCAUUGGCAUUGAAUUAGAGAGUUCUGGGUCUGAACCCUGGUUCACUACCUCCUGGUCAUGUCUCAGUGUUCUCAUCUGUGAAAUGAAGCUAAUAAUGUUUCCUCCUUGGUGUUAUUAUAGGAAUUAAUAAUAUAUUGCCUGUAAAAUCUUGAGUACAAAGCCUGGCAGAUAUUAAGCACCUAAUAAGUAUUAGUUUUCAAAAAUAGAAUGAGACUUGCUUUCAAGAACUUACUCUGUAAAUAUUCUUUAGCACUUCUCCCACUUUUCCACCUCAGUUUUAUUUGAACUAAAGCCGACCUGAAGAGUAGUAAGAGAGGAAACCAAGAAAGCAGGGCUGAGGUAGUUAGUAGAGAGCCUUCUUUAGAUUGGAUGUCCUGAGCAAUGCUGUAGACAGAAAUAGUCCUGACAGGUGGGUCUGGAGUGCCUUGUGGUGCAGAAAGAGUAAAGACAGCGUUCAUACACCAGGAGGCUCUUGGAGUAAUCCAGGGAGUUACCUGUGGCCUCGCCUCCCUUCGACUUGGAAACCAUGUGUUACUGAUCAUCUGCUGGUCUCUGGAGCCCAACCCACCCAAUCAUUAACGCGCUACAGCAUUUUCUUCUAGAUGUGAUCUCCUCAGUUGUCCUCAUUACUGUGCAAAAAUGAUGGAUUGACUAGAAUAUAUUUUCUUUUCUGAUAACUUUUUGGUUUUCGAAGAAAGAACUGAAAAACGUUGAUAAACACAUCCACAAAGAUCGCUGCCUGCGCAGUUCUGAAAAUGGAUACUCUCCAGUCAGGUAUAACCGGUCAGAUGCAGCGAAAAUGUGACCCAUGACUUACGCUGUAAGCCCUCUCUUACCAGAUCAUCUUUCCUAAUUGUGCAAAUUAUUCAGGCUUUUGUUUGUUUGUUUUCAUUGAUUAAAUGUGACGAAUAUAACAUUUCAGUUCCGUGGGAAAGUUAAAGGGGCGAAUAUUUAUAAUAAUGAUUCUGGCACCACUGCCUAUAAAUGACUUUGGUUUAGCAGUCCGCAUGGUUCAGAGCUAAAACCAUAGGUUUUGCUGUCAGGCAGACCCAACUGAAGCUCCAUGUCUUAAUAGCUCUGUGACCUUGGGAAGGUUCCAUCACUUCUGAGCCCCAGGUCCCUUAUUUCUAACAUGGAGUUAUGAUAUCCUUAUAAGAUUAUUAUUAAAAUUGGUAACAAUAUAAAAAAAGUCCCCUAGUGCAGUGCCAGGCACUGCUAUGUGCUACACCAGUCUUAACCCAUUGUCGAGUUCCCGUCGUGGCGCAGUGGUUAACGAAUCCGACUAGGAACCAUGAGGUUGCGGGUUCGGUCCCUGCCCUUGCUCAAUGGGUUAACGAUCCGGCGUUGCCGUGAGCUGUGGUGUAGGUCGCAGACGCGGCUCGGAUCCUGCAUUGUUGUGGCUCCGGCGUAGGCCGGUGGCUACAGCUCCAAUUCGACCCCUAGCCUGGGAACCUCCAUAUGCUGCAGGAGCGGCCCAAGAA